AAGGUUUGGUCCUAGCCUUGGAGUCAAUUCUUAUUUAAUAUACACAUGCAAGUAUCCGCACCCCAGUGAGAACGCCCUUAUUUCCCCUCUAGGGAACAGGAGCUGGUAUCAGGCCCAAAAAUUUGCCCAAAACACCUAGUCUCGCCACACCCUCAAGGGUCUUCAGCAGUGAUAAACAUUGAGCAUGAGCGAUAGCUUGACUCAGUUAAACUUAUUUAGAGCCGGCCAAUCUGGUGCCAGCCGCCGCGGUUACACCAUCGUGGCUCAAAUUGACCCCCUUCGGCGUAAAGCGUGAUUAAAGUUCUCCAAACAACUGGAAUUCAACUAAAACUAAGCCGUGACACGCUUGUUUUUAAGAAAACCAUAAACGAAAGUUAUUCCAAUUAAUUCAACUUGAACUCACGUCAUCUGAGAAACAAACUGGGAUUAGAUACCCCACUAUGCUCAGUCGUAAACUUUAACUUACUUCCUUCUCGCCAGGGAACUACGAGCUAAGCUUAAAACCCAAAGGACUUGACGGUACCCCAUAUCCCCCUAGAGGAGCCUGUCCUAUAAUCGAUAACCCCCGUUUAACCUCACCAUUUUUAGUUAUUCAGCCUGUAUACCUCCGUCGUCAGCUUACCACGUGAGCGCACUAGUGAGCCAAAUGUUUUUCCAACCACACGUCAGGUCAAGGUGCAACAAAUGAAAUGGGAAGAGAUGGGCUACACUUUCUAUAUUAGACUACACGAAAGACUUUAUGAAACCUAGUCAGAAGGCGGAUUUAGUAGUAAAAUGGAACUAGAGAGUCCUUUUUAACCUGGCACUGGGGUGUGUACACACCGCCCGUCACCCUCCUCAAUGCUAACAAACAGUUUUUAACACCUUUAAGCAACAUAGAAGAGGCAAGUCGUAACAUGGUAAGUAUACCGGAAGGUGUACUUGGAAA
rnacentral:ncRNA from 1 species